rnacentral:rRNA from 1 species
UAAUACGUAGGGGCGAGCGUUGUCCGAAGUUACUGGGCGUAAAGCGCGCGUAGGCGGUUAUUCAAGUCUGGGGUGAAAGGUUCAGCGCUCAACGUGAACAGUGCCUUGGAUACUGGAUGACUUGAGUCUGGGAGGGGGAAGGGGAAUUCCUGGUGUAGCGGUGAAAUGCGUAGAUAUCAGGAGGAACACCGGUGGCGAAGGCGCCUUCCUGGCCUAAGACUGACGCUGAGGUGCGAAAGCGUGGGGAGCAAACGGGAUUAGAUACCCCGGUAGUCCACGCCGUAAACGAUGAGUGCUAGGUGUCGGGGGUAUCGACCCCCCCGGUGCCGUCGCUAACGCAUUAAGCACUCCGCCUGGGGAGUACGGCCGCAAGGUUGAAACUCAAAGGAAUUGACGGGACCCCGCACAAGCGGUGGAGCAUGUGGAUUAAUUCGUCACUAACCCGAAGAACCUUACCCAGGUUUGACAUCGAGGGCAAGGCCAUGAAAAGUGGUCCCUCUAGCAAUAGACCCGAAGACAGGUGUUGCAUGG